CUGGUUGUGUUCAUGGCACACUAAAAGGUAACACAUUUUUACAGUUAAAUUACAUGUUUUCAGUAUAAAUCCCAUAAAAUAAUUUUAGGAGGGGUGCGGGGCCUCAGACUGGGGCCUCCAAAUCACAAAGUCCACCUCUGCCUGUGUUCAGGGACACAGUGGUAAGGCUGCAUUCAAACAUUACGUGUUCCUCCUGCAUUGAUGAUUGUCAACCACAACACUUUUCCAUUCAUCAGAAGAGUUCUAAACUGUGAUUGUGUGUCUCUUUCUGCAGGGUUAGUGUUUAAGGUGCUGGCCCUUUGCUUCUCCUCCUGUACACACUCAGACAUGGUGUGGCAGAGGGUGUGCUGAAAGCUGCUGGAGACUGUCCGGAGUGCUGGCUGGAGAGUGUGCUCACUGGGCUGGUGCAGGCUGUAAACAUGUAAGGGAAAGGGAGAGAACUAGAGGCCUGACAGGGGUCCAGGAUCAUGGGGAACCUGGUGUUGAAGAACAAAGAAGCCUAGUUUGUCAUCACUGAUAAAAUGCUCCUGGUCCAAUACAAGUAUGAGACUCACGUUUUGAGGGUUCUUCUGGGCUAUCUGGCACAGCACAGGGAGAGGCCACUACUUAUACAGGGGCUGCAGUCGCUGUGCCAGAGCUGGAUAGGUAAAAGAUAGCAAUAUUAUAAUAAAAACCCAAAACCCUGUAAUACCUUGCUAUACACUACAUUUAUGAAUAAAAUGUUGUCUGUGAGACUGAAGUUUUAUAUUUAAUUCAAAUCAUUACAACUUAAUUAAUCUUCCCACGGGCAGUUAAGAAGGCAUGGUAUAGUAGUGUUGUAUUAACAAGGCUCUAUGUUCCUGUCCUGUGUGUGUAUGAACCAGUGAUGAUUCGCUCACCCCUUACAGAUAUAUCAGCUGACCAGGAGACGAGCCAUGCUGUUUGGAGGGUAAUAUACAGUAUAAACUGUAGGACUCUCCAUGGGUGGGAGAUGGACAUUUGAGCUUAUCAACGCAAUCUUUAUUUUGCUGACUUGUUGAACGAUUGAGCCAUUCAUCCUUCCAUCCCUCCAUCUCUCCCCAGCCUUCCUCUCCUCUGAGGGUGGAGCUCAGUCUGAGAGCUGUUGA